rnacentral:rRNA from 1 species
GAUGAACGCUGGCGGCGUGCCUAAUACAUGCAAGUCGAGCGAACAGACGAGGAGCUUGCUCCUCUGACGUUAGCGGCGGACGGGUGGGUAACACGUGGAUAACCUACCUAUAAGACUGGGAUAACUUCGGGAAACCGGAGCUAAUACCGGAUAAUAUAUUGAACCGCAUGGUUCAAUAGUGAAAGACGGUUUUGCUGUCACUUAUAGAUGGAUCCGCGCCGCAUUAGCUAGUUGGUAAGGUAACGGCUUACCAAGGCAACGAUGCGUAGCCGACCUGAGAGGGUGAUCGGCCACACUGGAACUGAGACACGGUCCAGACUCCUACGGGAGGCAGCCGUAGGGAAUCUUCCGCAAUGGGCGAAAGCCUGACGGAGCAACGCCGCGUGAGUGAUGAAGGUCUUCGGAUCGUAAAACUCUGUUAUUAGGGAAGAACAAAUGUGUAAGUAACUAUGCACGUCUUGACGGUACCUAAUCAGAAAGCCACGGCUAACUACGUG